UCCUCCUCCUCCACCUCCUCCUCC
rnacentral:sRNA from 1 species